GAGCAUUUCUGAUGGGCAUCUUCUUGUUAAGUCUUUGAAUCUCUCCCAUGCUUCAUAAAGAGUCUUACCAUCUUGCUGCUUGAAGGUUUGCACCUCAGCUCUUAGCCU